GACGAACUGUCCAAACGUUGUUCGGAAUCACUGGGCUUAAAGCGCGCGUAGGCGGCUUUGCAAGUCGGGUGUGAAAUCCCCAGGCUUAACCUGGGAACUGCAUUCGAGACUGCAUUGCUAGAGUAUGGGAGAGGGAAGUGGAAUUUCCGGUGUAGCGGUGAAAUGCGUAGAUAUCGGAAGGAACAUCAGUGGCGAAAGCGACUUCCUGGACCAAUACUGACGCUCAUGUGCGAAAGCGUGGGGAGCAAACAGG
rnacentral:rRNA from 1 species